rnacentral:snoRNA from 1 species
CGCCUUUCUCCCUUUGGGCUGUGGGUGGGAGGUUGGCGGGGGGGCGGUCCCUGUUCUUUCUCUCAGCUAAGGCUGGAGGCCAAGAUCAGCCCUUGAGGACUGUCAUCAGAACUGCCUUGUUUUCCUGCCUCAGACGUGG